GAACCUGGUACAGAGAUAGGUACAAAGCGUAGUGCAGAAGUCUAACCUUGAGGUUACCAGUGCAUGCACUACCAUCUUCAGGUCC
rnacentral:snoRNA from 11 species